rnacentral:rRNA from 1 species
UACAGAGGGGGCAAGCGUUGUUCGGAAUUACUGGGCGUAAAGGGCGCGUAGGCGGCCUGUUAAGUCGAACGUGAAAUCCCCGGGCUCAACCCGGGAACUGCGUCCGAUACUGGCAGGCUUGAAUCCGGGAGAGGGAUGCGGAAUUCCAGGUGUAGCGGUGAAAUGCGUAGAUAUCUGGAGGAACACCGGUGGCGAAGGCGGCAUCCUGGACCGGCAUUGACGCUGAGGCGCGAAAGCUAGGGGAGCAAACGGG